AUUGAACGCUGGCGGCAUGCCUUACACAUGCAAGUCGAACGGUAACAGGGAGCUUGCUCCGCUGACGAGUGGCGAACGGGUGAGUAAUGCGUCGGAACGUGCCGAGUAGGGGGGGAUAACGCAGCGAAAGUUGUGCUAAUACCGCAUACGUACUGAGGUAGAAAGUGGGGGACCUUCGGGCCUCACGCUAUUCGAGCGGCCGACGUCUGAUUAGCUAGUAGGUGAGGUAAAGGCUCACCUAGGCGACGAUCAGUAGCGGGUCUGAGAGGAUGAUCCGCCACACUGGGACUGAGACACGGCCCAGACUCCGACGGGAGGCAGCAGUGGGGAAUUUUGGACAAUGGGCGAAAGCCUGAUCCAGCCAUGCCGCGUGUCUGAAGAAGGCCUUCGGGUUGUAAAGGACUUUUGUCGGGGAGGAAAUCCCCAGCGUUAAUACCGCUGGGGGAUGACAGUACCUGAAGAAUAAGCACCGGCUAACUACGUGCCAGCCGCCGCCGUAACAC
rnacentral:rRNA from 1 species